rnacentral:rRNA from 1 species
UACAGAGGGGGCAAGCGUUGUCCGGAAUUACUGGGCGUACAGCGCGCGCAGGCGGACCGCCACGUGCCGUGUGACAAGCCACUGCUCAACAGUGGAGGGCCAGGGUACACGAGCGGUCUGGAGGCAGGGAGAGGGAUGUGGAAUGCCCGGUGGAGCGGUGAAAUGCGUAGAGAUCGGGCGGAACACCAGCGGCGAAGGCGGCAUCCUGGUCCUGUUCUGACGCUGGGGCGCGAGAGCGUGGGGAGCGAACUGG